UCGCUCAACGGAUAAAAGGUACUCCGGGGAUAACAGGCUGAUACCGCCCAAGAGUUCAUAUCGACGGCGGUGUUUGGCACCUCGAUGUCGGCUCAUCACAUCCUGGGGCUGAAGUCGGUCCCAAGGGUAUGGCUGUUCGCCAUUUAAAGUGGUACGCGAGCUGGGUUUAGAACGUCGUGAGACAGUUCGGUCCCUAUCUACCGUGGGCGUUGGAAAUUUGAGAGGAUCUGCUCCUAGUACGAGAGGACCAGAGUGGACGAACCACUGGUGUUCGGGUUGUCAUGCCAAUGGCAUUGC
rnacentral:rRNA from 14 species